GGCAGUGGUACCUCAGUGGUUUAGGCUUUGGAUUACUGCUCAGAAGGUCAGGAGUUCAAGCCCCAGCACUGCCA